AGAGAGCUGUAUUAGUUUGACAAAAAUCAUAUACACUUGAGUGUACAAAAUAUUAGGAACACCUUCCUAAUAUUGAGUUGCGCGCUACAAAUGAAUAUGAUCCUUCGAUGUCGGCUCUUCCUGUCAUUGUGAAGCAGAAUUCACCAAGCGUUGGAUUGUUCACCCACUAAUAGGGAACGUGAGCUGGGAUUAGACCGUCGUGAGACAGGUUAGUUUUACCCUACUGAUGAUGUGUUGUUGCAAUAUGGAGACUCUCACGACUCUUUACGGCCCCCACAAGUGUCACAGAACUCAUCUGAAGGUAACCUGGAAACGCUUUAAAAAAUGAAUGGAAGUAUACUGAACACAACAGGUAAAGUGUUGGUCCCAUGUUUAAUGAGCUGAAAUAAAAGAUCACAGAAAUGUUCCAUAUGUACAAAAAGCUUAUUUCUCAAAAUUGUUGGGCACAAAUUUGUUUACAUGCCUGUUAGUGAGCAUUUCUCCUUUGCCAAGAUAAUCCAUCCACCUGACAGGUGUGACAUAUAAAGAAGCUGAUUAAACAGCAUGAUCAUUACACAGGUGCACCUUGUGCUUGGGACAAUAAAAGGCCACUCUAAAAUGUGCAGUUUUGCCAGACAACACAAUGCCACAGAUUUCUCAAGUUUUGGGGAAGCGUGCAAUUGGCAUGCUGACUGCAGGAAUGUCCACCAGAGCUGUUGCCAGAUAAUUUAAUGUUAAUUUCUCUACCAUAAGCCGCCUCCAACAUCGUUUUAGAGAAUUUGGCAGUACAUCCAACCGGCCUCACAACCUCAGACCACGUGUAACCACGCCAGCCAAGGAACUCCACUUCCUGCUUCUUCACCUGAAGGAUCGUCUGAUACCAACCACCCAGACAGCUGAUAAAACUGAGGAGUAUUUCUGUCUGUAAUAAAGCCCUUUUGUGGGAAAAAAACUCGGUAUGCCUUCCCAGGCCCACCCAUGGCUGCUCCCCUGCCCAGUCAUGUGAAAUCCAUAGAUUAGGGCCUAAUAAAUUUAUUUAAAUUGACUGAUUUCCUUAUAUGAACUGUAAUUCUGUAAAAUCUUAGAAAUUGUUGGCUAAAAAACGUACCCAUUUGAAACUGCCUAUUUCUCAGGCCCAGAAACUAGAAUAUGCAUAUAAUUGUCAGAUUAGGAAAGAAAAUAAACGCACCAAACAAAUGGAGGUAUUUUGGAUAUAAAAAUCAUCUUUAUGGAACAAAAGGAACAUUUAUUGUGUAACGGGGAGUCUCGUGAGUGCAAACAUCUGAAAGAUCAUCAAAGGUAAGCGAUUUAAUCUAUUGCUUUUCUGACUUUCGUGACCAAUCUACUUGGCUGCUAGCUGUUUGUAAUGUUUUGUCUACUGAGAGAUGUUCUUACAUAAACACUUGUUAUGCUUUCGCCGAAUAGCUGUUUUGAAAUCUGACAUGCCAGGUGGAUUAACAACAAGCUAAGCUGUGUUUUGCUAUAUCGCACUUGUGAUUUCAUGAAAAUUAAAUAUUUUUAGUAAUUUAAUUUGAAUUUGGCGCACUGCAAUUCAGCGGGUGUUGAUGAAAAUGAUCCCACUAAAGGGAUGGGUGUGUAAAGAAGUUAAUGGUUGUGUUUUUGUAUUCUUAUGAUUGGGACCUACUGGCUUAUUAUGUCUGAGUUUAUGGACUGCUUAUCCUUUACCAUCAUGCUGUGUGUGACUGCGGUCUUUCCAUCAGCCCUAUGCAGUGGUGCCUGUAGAAGUGGGUAUAAUUAGAGUGGGUGGGUAUACCUACUUACCCUAAUUAUUAGGGUAUACCCACUUCUACAGCCACCAUUACGCCACUGCUAACAAGAAACAAAUAAUGCUCCUGUUGUCAAUUAGAGAUAUUUUUAAAGAGCUGUGUGGAGAAGGGAAUGUGGAUAGAAGUGCUGCGUUAUUGGGAAGAAGCGAUGAUAAUCAGGGAGAAUAUCCCAUUCGCUGCCACGAAAGUAGCCAACCAAUGCAGAGAGAGAGAAAGAGAGUGAGAGCAGCUGAUUCGAUGAUCCUGCAGAACAGAGGUAAGUGCUCUACUCUACGACCUUAGGCAGAGCCAGUAGAAAAAAUCACAUAUGAUGUGGUUCACAAUUAUCAUAAUGCCGUUUUUACAACAUUGCCUUAGGUAUCCUCUGAGAGUGAUAUGUAAUGCUCUUUGAAACAGCACUCUUCAGUCAUUGUAAACUACCUCUAAUACUUACAGGGUAUUUCAAAUAGCCGUUAGGCAGGCCUAGUUAUAAGUUGUGUUUCCAAUGGUACCAUUUUCUCUACAUAGAACACUGCUGGUGGUGCACUAUUUAGGGAAUAGGGUGCCCAUUUGGGAAUCAUUCAUACUUCUAUCUCUAACAAUACACUGUAGCCAAGCCAAUAAGCCAGCCCCAUUACUAGAGGUUCUAAACAUUGGUCCAAUCAGAGAUAAUUGGUAUUCUAAUAGGAGUCAUAUGAACAUGUGUUCUGGGAUUUAUUCUCUAGGUUUAAUGUGAAUGUGGUUUUAAUCAACUCGAGGUUGACUUUCCCUAGUCACUGUGCUUAUUUGAGGGGUUUACACAUGAGAACAGUGAAAAGAGAGCGAGAGAGAACAACUAUCGCCACCUGGUGGCCUGUUAUUGUAAUGACAACUGGAGAGUUCUUCAGAUGCCCUGGCAUGUUGAUGUCCGGCUGAUGGUUAAUGCCAAGUCUUUCUGGCUAAUGACUGUUUUGUCAAAUGUACACUAUAGUGGCCUGGAAAUACGAUGACAUUUCUAAAGUAGACAAAUAAUUAAUGGAAAACAACUUUGCUAUCAUUAUGAAGUCGUCAUGUUUACUUUAGAGAGAUGGCAAUGAUGCCAUCAGCUAGCAAUGUUGGUCAGAAAUAGCUAGCAAUGCUAACCUUAGCUAGCUAACAAUUGAGUGCUCUACCCUCAAUCUUAGCUAGUUAGCUAAAGUUUACUACAUCUAAACUCAAUCUGGAGACAUCACAAUGAUGACAAAUGCUUGUCCUACUAAUUAUUUCUAAUCUGUUCAAAUGGCGCCGUACUGGAUCAAUCAAUCAAAUAUAUUUAUUUAUAAAGCCCUUUUUUACAUCAGCUGAUAUCUCAAAGUGCAGUACAGAAAUCCAGCCUAAAACCCCAAACAGCAAGCAAUGCAGGUGUGGAAGCACGGUGGCUAGGAAAAACUCCCUAGAAAGGCCAAAACCUAGGAAGAAACCUAGAGAGGAACCUGGCUAUGUGGGGUGGCCAGUCCUCUUCUGGCUGUGCCGGGUGGAGAUUAUAACAGAACAUGGCCAAGAUGUUCAAACGUUCAUAGAUGACCAGAAGAGUCAAAUAAUAAUAAUCACAGUGGUUGUAGAGGGUGCAACAGGUCAGCACCUCAGGAGUAAAUGUCAGUUGGCUUUUCAUAGCCGAUCAUUCAGAGUUAGAGACAGCAGGUGCGGUAGAAAGAGGGUCCAAAACAGCAGGUCUGGGACAGGUGGCACGUCUAGUGAACAGGUCAGGGUUCCAUUGCCGCAGGCAGAACAGUUGAAACUGGAGCAGCAGCAUGACCAGGUGGACUGGGGACAGCAAGGAGUCAUCAGACCAGGUAGUCCUGAGGAAUGGUCCUAGAGCUCAAGUUCUCCAAGAGAAGAGAGAGUGAAAGAGAGAGAGAGAGAGAAAGAGAGAGAGAGAAUUAGAGGGAGCAUACUUAAAUUCACACAGGACACUGGAUGAGACAGGAGAAGUACUCCAGAUAUAACAGACUGACCCCAGCCCCCCAACACAAUCUAUUACAGCAUAAAUACUGGAGGCUGAGACAUUGUUACACUGUGUAACCCUUCUUGGAAUGCCUGAUCGUCAAAUACCGAUCCUUCCACCUCCCGAGGGAGUUUUUUGCUAUUAUCGUGACUAUCGUAUACAUUCUACCUCAGGACUUGAAAAAUAACAAGCUAACUUAAAUCCAAAAGGCUGCUUUUCCGGUUGCUGGCGAUUCGCAUUAUUAAGACACGUAAUGCACAACUUCCAUCAACACGUCUUCAAAGCCACUAGGGGAGAUAAAGUUCUAGACCAUUGUUAUUCUACCCUCAAGCAAGCAGACUAGGCCCUCCCUCAUCAGGGCUACUGCAUACAGGGCUAUCAUAGACAACCCUGAGGAUACGGACAUACAGGGCUAUCGUAGACAACCCUGAGGAUACGGACAUACAGGGCUAUCGUAGACAACCCUGAGGAUACGGACAUACAGGGCUAUCGUAGACAACCCUGAGGAUACGGACAUACAGGGCUAUCGUAGACAACCCUGAGGAUACGGACAUACAGUGCUAUCGUAGACAACCCCGAGGACGGGAACAAGUACAGGAAGUACCGCUAUGGCCUCAAUGUAGUCUCAAUUCAUUAUGUGAUCUGAGGAUGAUUCCGCGGGCCGUAUUGAAUCAGAUCGCGGGCCGCAUACUGCCCCCAGGGCCAGCCUUUGCACUGCCCUAGAGGGUUCUCUAACAACCGUCUGUAAUGCCCUAGAGGGUUCCCUAACAACCGUCUGUAAUGCCCUAGAGGGUCCCCUAACAACCGUCUGAAAUGCCCUAGAGGGUCCCCUAACAACCGUCUGUAAUGCCCUAGAGGGUCCCCUAACAACCGCCUGAAAUGCCCUAGAGGGUUCCUUAACAACCGUCUGAAAUGCCCUAGAGGGUUCCCUAACAACCGUUUGAAAUGCCCUAGAGGGUUCCCUAACAACCGUCUGAAAUGCCCUAGAGGGUUCCCUAACAACCGUCUGUAAUGCCCUAGAGGGUUCCCUAACAACCGUCUGUAAUGCCCUAGAGGGUUCCCUAACAACCGUCUGUAAUGCCCUAGAGGGUCCCAUAACAACUGUCUGAAAUGCCCUAGAGGGUCCCCUAACAACCGUCUGUAAUGACCUAGAGGGUCCCCUAACAACCGCCUGAAAUGCCCUAGAGGGUUCCCUAACAACCGUCUGAAAUGCCCUAGAGGGUUCCCUAACAACCGUCUGUAAUGCCCUAGAGGGUUCCCUAACAACCGUCUGUAAUGCCCUAGAGGGUUCCCUAACAACCGUCUGAAAGGCCCUAGAGGGUUCCCUAACAACCGUCUGUAAUGCCCUAGAGGGUUCCCUAACAACCGUCUGAAAUGCCCUAGAGGGUCCCCUAACAACCGUCUGUAAUGCCCUAGAGGGUUCCCUAACAACCGUCUGAAAUGCCCUAGAGGGUUCCCUAACAACCGUCUGUAAUGCCCUAGAGGGUUCCCUAACAACCGUCUGUAAUGCCCUAGAGGGUUCCCUAACAACCGUCUGUAAUGCCCUAGAGGGUUCCCUAACAACCGUCUGUAAUGCCCUAGAGGGUUUUAGGGAACCCUCUAGGGCAUUACAGAUGAUUUUUGAAUGACUACCUCAUCUCUGUACCCCAUACAUACAACUAACUGUAAAGUUCCUGAGUCGAACAGUACAUUUCAAACACAGAAUCAACUGCAAAGACCAGGGAGGUUUUCUAAUGCCUCACAAAGAGGAGCAUCCAUUGAUAUUUUUUAACCUUUAUAAAAUUAGGCAAGUCAGUUAAGAACAAAUUCUUGUUUUACAAUGAGGGCCUACACCAGCCAAACCCAGAUGACGCUGGACCAAUUGUGAGCCGCCCUAUGGGACUCCCAAUCACAGCCGGUUGUGAUACAGCCUGGAUAGAUGGGUAAAAAUAAAAAUAUCAGACAUUGAAUAUCCCUUUGAUCAUGGUGAAGUUAUUAAUUACACUUUGGAUGGUGUAUCAAUACACCCAGUCAUUACAAAGAUACAGGCGUCCGUCCUAACUCAGUUGCUGGAGAGGAAGGAAACUGUUCAGGGAUUUCACCAUGAGACCAAUGGUGACUUUAAAACAGUUACAUAGUUUAAUGGCUGUGAUGGGAGAAAACUGAGGAUGGAUCAACAACAUUGUAGUUACUCCACAAUACUAAUAUAUUUGACAGAGUGAAAAGAAGGAAGCCUGUACAGAAUAAUGCAUUAAAGUAAUGCUGCUAAAAAUGUCCCAAAGCAAUUAACUUUUUGUCCUGAAAACAAGGUGUUUGGUGCAAAUCUAAUACAACACAUCACUGAGUACAACUCUGCAUAUGUUCAAGCAUGGUGGUGGCUGCAUCAUGUUAUGGGUAUGCUUGUCAUCGUUAAGGACUGGGGAGUUUUUCAGGAUCAAAAAGAAACAGAAUGCUGAUGAAUACAUGCAAAAUCCGAGAGGAAAACCUGGUUCAGUCUGUUUUCCACCAGACACUGGGAUAUUAAUUCACAUUUCAGCAGGACAAUAACCUAAAACACAAGGCCAAAUCGACACUGGAGUUGUUUACCAAACAGACAGUGAGUGUUCCUGUGCGGCCGAGUUACAGUUUUGACUUAAACCUACUGAAAAUAGUUGUCUAGCAUUGAUUAACAACCAUUUUGAUAGCUUGAAGAAUUUUGAAAAUAAUAAUGGUCAAAUGUUGCACAAUCCAAGGUGUAGAGACAUACCCAGAAAGACAAAUAGCUGUAAUCACUGACAAAAGUGCUUCUACAAAUAUUCACUCAGGGGUGUGUAUUAUGUACAUUCAAUAGUUCUGUAUUUCAUUAUAAAUACAUUUGCUAACAUUUCUAAAAACAUGUUUUCACUUUGUCGUUAUGGGGUAUUGUGUGUAGAUGGGUGAGAUAAAAACAAUGUUUUAAUAAAUGUUGUAUUCAGGCUGUAACACAAAGAAAUGGGGAAUAAGUCAAGGGGUAUGAAUACUUUCUGAAGGCUCUGUAACGUUUCGUCAAUCCAUAUGCCCAGAUAUUUAGGCAGGAUACUCAAGUGGGCGAGUCCAAGGGGACACGUGUCUUAGACUUUAUUUCAGGAGUCUAAAAUACUCCACAUUAUCCAGAGAAGACGGUUUGAGAACUUCUAAUCAGGGUUUUGUAUAGUGCACACCAGCUUUUCCUAUUGGCUCCUAGUGAUGUAAAGUAUUUAAGUAAAAACACUUGAAAGUACUUCUUAA
ensembl:lncRNA